GAACUCUGCAAAAUUGCCCCAUAACUUCGGGAGAAGGGGUGCCCCCUCACAAAGGGGGUUGAAGUGACCAGGCCCAGACGACUGUUUACCAAAAAUACAGGUCUCCGCAAAGUCGUAAGACCAUAUAUAGGGGCUGACGCCUGCCCAAUGCCGGAAGGUUAAGGAAGUUGGUGACCUGAUGACAGGGGAGCCGACGACCGAAGCCCGGUGAACGGUGGCCGUAACUAUAACGAUCUCCAGGUAGCGAAAUUCCUUGUCGAGAGUUUGAAAUUAUAAUUUAAGCCUAAUUUGAUCCUUUGU
rfam:Beta vulgaris subsp. vulgaris chromosome 5, whole genome shotgun sequence.